UACAGAGACUGCAAGCGUUAUUCGGAUUUACUGGGCGUAAAGGGUGUGCAGGCUGCCCCUCAAGUGGUGUAUGAAAGGGCUCGGCUCAACCGGGCUAGGUUAUGCCAGACUGAGGGGCUAGAGAGCGAGAGCGGGACGUGGAAUUCCGGGUGUAGUGGUGAAAUGCGUAGAGAUCCGGAGGAACCCCAGAGGCGAAGGCGGCGUCCUGGCUCGCAUCUGACGCUCAGACACGACAGCAUGGGGAGCGAACGGG
rnacentral:rRNA from 1 species